rnacentral:lncRNA from 1 species
AUGUCUAGAAUGAGAAGAGAGAAGAAAAGAAUCAUAGAGAAGGAAGCAACUGAAAGGGUCCCAAGAGGAGGAGGAAAAGGCAGAGGAGCCGAGCAGAGGCAAAGGUGUCAAACAUUCAGCCAAAUUGGAUUCCAAGUGUCCUGUGAUGGAACUCACCUUAGUGGAGUCUACAUUAUGCAUCUUCAUGCCCUGUAUCCCAGCACUUGCAACCUACUUAUGUUUGAUGGUCAACAAUAGAGUAAAUAAAUAUGCAUACAUAUAAAUAUAUAUCA